rnacentral:rRNA from 1 species
ACCCGGGCGUUGGUUGACCCGGGCGUAAGGGACCGAAAUCAAGUAGGGAAGUCCGCGAUGCUCUGUGGCGAGAAAAGGCGAAGAUAAGGUGCCCGUACCGCAAACCGACACAGGUAGAUGAGGAGAGAAUCCUAAGGCCAACGGGAGAAAGGUUGUUAAGGAACUCGGCAAAAUUGCCCCGUAACUUCGGGAGAAGGGGCGCCUCCGAAAGGAGGCCGCAGUGAAAAGGCCCAAGCGACUGUUUACCAAAAACACAGGUCUCUGCUAAAUCGAAAGAUGACGUAUGGGGGCUGACGCCUGCCCGGUGCUGGAAGGUUAAGAGGAGAGCUUAGCGCAAGCGAAGGCUUGAAUUUAAGCCCCAGUAAACGGCGGCCGUAACGAUAACGGUCCUAAGGUAGCGAAAUUCCUUGUCAGGUAAGUUCUGACCCGCACGAAUGGCGUAACGAUUUGGGCGCUGUCUCAACAGCCUACCCGGCGAAAUUGUAGUACCGGUGAAGAUGCCGGUUACCCGCAACUAGACGGAAAGACCCCAUGGAGCUUUACUGCAGCUUAAUACUGAGAUUCGGUAAUUCAUGUACAGGAUAGGUGGGAGACUUGGAAACAGGGGCGUCAGCUUCUGCGGAGUCACCCUUGGGAUACCACCCUUGGAUUGCUGGGUUUCUAACCUGCGGCCAUGAAUCUGGUCGGGGGACACUGUUAGGCGGGCAGUUUGACUGGGGCGGUCGCCUCCUAAAAAGUAGCGGAGGCGCUCAAAGCUUGGCUCAGCAUGGAUGGAAAUCAUGCAAUGAGUGUAAACGUAUAAGCCAAGUUGACUGCGAGACCGACGGGUCGAGCAGGGACGAAAGUCGGAGUUAGUGAUCCGGUGGUAUGUGAGUGGAAAUGCCAUCGCUCAACGGAUAAAAGCUACCCUGGGAUAACAGGCUGAUCUCCCCCAAGCGUCCACAGCGACGGGGAGGUUUGGCACCUCGAUGUCGGCUCGUCGCAUCCUGGGGCUGUAUUCGGUCCCAAGGGUUUGGCUGUUCGCCAAUUAAAGCGGCACGCGAGCUGGGUUCAGAACGUCGUGAGACAGUUCGGUCCCUAUCUGUUGCGGGCGUAAGAGAUUUGAAGGGAGCUGUCCUUAGUACGAGAGGACCGGGAUGGACUGACCUCUGGUGCACCAGUUGUUCUGCCAAGGGCAUAGCUGGGUAGCUACGUCGGGACGAGAUAAACGCUGAAGGCAUCUAAGCGCGAAACUCCCCCUAAGAUAAGAUCUCUCAUCCUGAAAAGGAGUAAGGCUCGUCGUAGACUAUGACGUUGAUAGGUCAGGGGUGGAAGCACAGUAAUGUGUGUAGCUGACUGAUUCUAAUAAGCCGAGGGCUUGACC